rnacentral:tRNA from 1 species
AGCCCCGGGGUGUCACAUAUGGGAUUGCAAACCCCAAGAAGCAGAGUAACGUCUGCCGGGGCUU